ncrna:unclassified sequences Rhodo-rpoB RNA
GGUUCGGGAGCCACCCUAAGGGACGGGUGGCAUGAAUAGAAUCUUACCCCCCUCUCGCCAAUCGGCACGCCUUCCGUGGCCCGACGGAACGCUGG